rnacentral:rRNA from 1 species
CCUACGGGAGGCAGCAGUAAGGAAUAUUGGACAAUGGGCGAAAGCCUGAUCCAGCCAUGCCGCGUGAAGGAUUAAGGCCCUCUGGGUUGUAAACUUCUUUUAUAGGGGACGAAAAAAGGGAAUUCUUUCCCUCCUGACGGUACCCUAUGAAUAAGCACCGGCUAACUCCGUGCCAGCAGCCGCGGUAAUACGGAGGGUGCAAGCGUUAUCCGGAUUCACUGGGUUUAAAGGGUGCGUAGGCGGGUAGGUAAGUCAGUGGUGAAAUCUCGAAGCUUAACUUCGAAACUGCCAUUGAUACUAUUUAUCUUGAAUAUUGUGGAGGUUUGCGGAAUAUGUCAUGUAGCGGUGAAAUGCUUAGAUAUGACAUAGAACACCUAUUGCGAAGGCAGCAGGCUACGCAUAUAUUGACGCUGAGGCACGAAAGCGUGGGGAUCAAACAGGAUUAGAUACCCUGGUAGUCCACGCCCUAAACGAUGAUUACUCGACAUUUGUGAUACACUAUAAGUGUCUGAGCGAAAGCAUUAAGUAAUCCACCUGGGAAGUACGACCGCAAGGUUGAAACUUAAAGAGUAGUAGCGNGNGAGAGCGACGACGACGACGACGAGGAGGAGG